rnacentral:lncRNA from 1 species
GUUUGCAUGUCUGCAUUUUUUACUGCUCCGUUUAAUAUGUAUGCAAAUGCCGGCCGGCUGCGCCCGCCGCGCGGCUGCACAGUCACACGCGGCGCCCCAUUAAAGCGGCCGUCCCGGGCGCGCGCCUCAUUCGAGGCGACGGGCUCCGGGCCCUGAUAGAUGGGGUGCGGGGACGGAGACAAAUGACGGCCUUUGGGCUCGGAAUACCCACCUUUCUGGUAAUGCAGCCCAGCGGGUCCCAGCCUCGUUUUCCAGCCCUCACUCAAAAUGGAGUCGCUCUGGUUCGAACGCCUCUGACAAGUGUGUACCUACGUGUCAGGAUUUGCCGGGUGCUGGGCCCCAGAAGCCAGCCCUCCUGACGUGUGGCGGCCGUCCUCACCGCUCCCUCCUUCCCUGCAGCAUUCCCCAGCCCCCGGCCCACCCUCCUCCCACCCGCUUCCUGACCCAGGCUCCCGGGCCUUCCCCUCGUGGCCACCUAGCUGUGUGCUUUGUUUGGCUGCUGUCACCCCCAGGAAGGUGAUCCCCGUGAGAACUCAAAUAGCAGAUGCUCAUCUGGGACCCCCGCCUCCAGCCCCAGGGGAGGUUUCCUGGUCCUCACUGUGGCCGGGGCAUGGCUCCUUCACCCCGGGGCUCACCCUCGGUGUCCGUGAAGUCCAGCCGACGGUGACCCUAAGUCCUCCCUCCACUCGCCUAUGUUUGGGGAUAGCCCAUCCUUCCUGCAGGCCUUUGUCUUGGUGUCACCCUGCCUGAGCUGGCCCCAACCACAGUAGCAACAGUGAUGCUGAUGUGUGACUGCUGCCAGGAGCCUGCUCACAUGACCGUGUGGAGAAAGUUCUUUCCCUGAGGACCAUCUGGAGUGGACGCGUGCACUACCCCUCUCUGAAUACACCCUCCCCACGAGGCCCUCUGGAGCAUCCUGUAGAGCCAGCCCCUACCCAGAGACCCUGAGCCCAGAGAAUGCGCUGGGUGGUGAGCCUGGGGACGAAUGCAGAGCCCUAGGUCUCCUCUCCAGAAGUUGGAGUGCCAUGGUGUGGUCAUAGCCCACUGAAGCCUCAAACCUCUGGGCUGAAGCCAUCCUUCCGCCUCAGCCUCCCAAGUAGCUGGGACCAUAGGUGCAUGGCACUGUGCCUGGCACUGUCUGAAUGCAUACAGCUGCGUAGCAUCGUGGUAAGAACACCCGCCCUGACAUCACACAGACCUGCAUCCACGUCCCAGCUGAGCCUCAGUUCUCACAUCUGCAAAAUGGGGAGAACAACAGCAGCAGCGUCCUGAGGCUGGGGUGAGGACCGAGUGAAAAACCUUUGUCGCAUCUUUGGGCAUCGCAGGAGUUCAAUAAAUGUUAGCUAUCGUUGUCACUUUGUAUUAUCCAGCCCAGUCUGGCCCGUUGUAAUCACCUCCUGACCUGUGUCUGGGAGCUCACAGCUCCAAGCAGCAA